GCACGUCGUUAUUACACACGAGAUGGACUUACCUGAUCGUCACGGCGAGCAAUACGAUGAUAGCCCCGACCAGGACCAUGGCGAUCAGAACUCCGCAUAUCAUGUACACGCUGUCCACUGUCGGGUCGAGUUGUGGAAACAAUUGCAAGGAAUCUGAAACAAGA